GGCGGACGGCUGAGUAACGCGUAGGUGACCUGCCCCGAAGUGGGGAAUAACACCGCGAAAGCGGUGCUAAUACCGCAUGUGGUUGUGCGUGUAGACGCGUGCAACUAAAGCCCGCAAGGGUGCUACGGGAGGGGCCUGCGUCCGAUUAGCUAGUUGGUGGGGUAAUGGCCUACCAAGGCAACGAUCGGUAGCUGAUCUGAGAGGAUGGUCAGCCAGACUGGGACUGAGACACGGCCCAGACUCCUACGGGAGGCAGCAGGUAGGAAUUUUGGACAAUGGGCGAAAGCCUGAUCCAGCAACGCCGCGUGGACGAUGAAGGCCUUCGGGUCGUAAAGUCCUUUUCAGAGGGAAGACCUCGACGGUACCUCUGGAAUAAGCCUCGGCUAACUACGUGCCAGCAGCCGCGGUAAUACGUAGGAGGCGAGCGUUAUCCGGAUUUAUUGGGCGUAAAGAGCGCGUAGGCGGUUCUGUAAGUUGGACGUGAAAGCCCCCGGCUUAACUGGGGAGGGUCGUUCAAUACUGCGGA
rnacentral:rRNA from 1 species